ACUAAAGAAAGUAAUGCUGCUGCGAUAGCUGCAAGGUACCAGAUAAGCAGAAAUUAGGAGUAGCGCUACAUGUGAGCACACCAAGCUGAGCCUUCUCCAGAACAACCAGCUCCAGCCAGCUCCUGGUUUCUCCAAGGACUGCUCCAUCUUAUCACACAUCUCCCCAUUGUCUUCUCCAGCAAGCGGCAAUAUUACAGAAACUGGACUGUGAAGAGAAUGUUACCUUAAAAAAUCUUAGAAAAAUUGAUAUUCUGCAAUGCACUGACAAGACCCUAAUAAUUAUCCUAAGAAGAGUAAUUCCAUGUCUCAUCUCAAAGUUCAGUGCAUUCCCAUGUGAACGUAAAUUAUAAACGUAUGCUUCUAGGAAGAGGUGCCACCUUGAAAUUCUUCAUCCAAAACUCUCAGCAUGCUGGCCUCCCCAAGCAACUUUACCAGGAGUACUUAGUCCUAAGGAGAAGGGAAGCUGAAAGAACCAGGAGGGAGCAAAAGACACCGGUAUACUGUCUCAGGAAAAAAUGUAGGAGGGCGGAAAGAGAAACAACUCCCUCAGAUGUCUGCAGAAAGACAGAAUCUAAACAAGAAAAAAAACACCAAUCCUUUUCCCCCUCACAUAAAAGGACUACUUUAUGGGCUGACCCUGAUCAGGAACCAGUGCCUACCCCAGACUGGUACUUCCACAAGGAAACUCCUAUCGAGCAGAAGACACAGGAUAUUUGCACCCUGAGGAGCAAAACUAGAAGAAGCACAGGAGGGUCAGAUGUGGAGAUAGCACUGAUCAAAUCUAUCAGCAACUGUUGUCAGCAGGAAGGUUGCCUGGGCAAUCUGAAUUCUGGCAUUUACUAGAUUUUGAAUGUUUGACUUUGCAAGCUUAGCAUUCUUUCACUCUUCUUUAAUGUCAUUUUAGUCUCUUUGGCAAGAUGCUGAAUAGAUGUGUGCAUAUUUGUAGUUAGGAUGCAGUUUUAGAGCACACAGUUUCCAUGGAGUGUGUAAAUAAAUCCUAUUUUCUGAACUGUAU
rnacentral:lncRNA from 7 species